UGGAAAGUGGCUCAGUGGUAGAGUGCUUGCCUUGCAUGCAUGAGGCUUAGUGGUAGAGUGCUUGCCUUCCAU
rnacentral:tRNA from 1 species